rnacentral:rRNA from 1 species
CCUACGGGAGGCAGCAGUGGGGAAUAUUGGACAAUGGGGGCAACCCUGAUCCAGCCAUGCCGCGUGUGUGAAGAAGGCCCUCGGGUUGUAAAGCACUUUCAGUGAGGAAGAACGCCUGGUGGUUAAUACCCAUCGGGAAAGACAUCACUCACAGAAGAAGCACCGGCUAACUCCGUGCCAGCAGCCGCGGUAAUACGGAGGGUGCGAGCGUUAAUCGGAAUUACUGGGCGUAAAGCGCGCGUAGGUGGCUUGAUAAGCCGGUUGUGAAAGCCCCGGGCUCAACCUGGGAACGGCAUCCGGAACUGUCAAGCUAGAGUGCAGGAGAGGAAGGUAGAAUUCCCGGUGUAGCGGUGAAAUGCGUAGAGAUCGGGAGGAAUACCAGUGGCGAAGGCGGCCUUCUGGACUGACACUGACACUGAGGUGCGAAAGCGUGGGUAGCAAACAGGAUUAGAUACCCGGGUAGUC